rnacentral:rRNA from 1 species
UGGUGGAGUGAUCUGUCUGGUUAAUUCCGAUAACGAACGAGAUCCUGGCCAUUUAAAUAGUAUCAUUCACACAUUGUGUUCGAAUACUUCUUAGAGGAACCAUGAGGAAUAAAAUACCCCAAGGAAGUGGGGCUAUAACA